CUGACCUUAUUUUAAUUUCUCACCUGUGUUUCUUGUACCCUGUUGCUUUUCAAAUUUCGUUCUUAUGUCUCCCUCUAUGCAGCUCCAUGUACCUACUUUUUGAUUCUUGUACCCUGUUGCUUUCAAAAUUUUCUGUUUCCUUCUAUCCAUCUCCCUGUCUCUAGUUCUUAACUCUUCCCUCUCUGUCCUGUACCCUGUCACUUCUUAGAUUUUCUUUCUACCUCUCCCUCUUUCUGUCUCCCUGUGCCUAUUUGUUAGUUCUUGCCUAUGUUUCUCAUAUGCUGUUGCUUUUUGAAAAUUUUCUCUCUACCUGGCUCCCUGUUUCUGUUUUCUAGUUCUUGCUGUUUCUUCUCCCAUAUCACUUGAGAAUGUUUCCCUGUCCCUUGUCCUGUCUUUAUCUUGUUGUCCUGCCAGUCCCUUCACCUUCUCUCCCCCACUUCCUAUUAUUUAUUCCUCCAUCUCCAUCCCUGUUGUUUUGCUCAGUCUCUCUGCGCUUCUCUCUCUACACUGUUUUCCUGCUUCUUGUCCCUCUCUUGUUCCCAGCAUCCCAUUUUCUGGCUCCCUGUCUUGCACCUCUGUGUCCCUCUGUCCUUCCUCCUGCUUUACUCUUCCCUUUUAUCACCCCAUCCUGCUGCCUUUGGGCACUGAGCCUUGUAGCCAACUCAUUGCCAGGAUUUCUUAUAUGCAUUAAUGAAUAAAUUUUUCCUGCCUCCUCUGUGUCCCUGGAUGUGGGUAGGUGCAGGGGCAGGGAUAAUAUGCUGUGGGGCUUUGGCAAUGGCCCCUGUUCCUGAUGGGCUCCAGCUGGGGCUGGGAUGGCCCCAGGUGUGGCCAGUGAGGUUGAGGAUGGGGCUGGCCCUGCUGUGUGAAGGGGCUCCAGCUGUAAAGGGGGCUGCCUGGGCAGGGGAACUGGCUGAGGAGGGAGUGCAAGGGGGUCUGGCUGGUAGGUGCCUGCAGCAAGGAAUGGCCAGUCCCCGUGGCAAGGAAGGAUCCCUCUGAGCUGUUCCUGGCGUCUGUUGGCUACACGCGUGAGCUGCCAUGUAUCAAGGAAGCCUUGUGGAUGAGGAGCAUUGAGGCGUCCGCUGCGUGCUGCCGAGUGGGUGAGGGUCAGGCAGCCGGCACUGGGGAGGAGGAAGGGGCAGAGGCAGGGAGAGAAACGUCGGGGCGGUGAAGGUCUCCUGCUGGCACCAGGAGCUGUGGUGAGUCGCACAUCCUCUCCUCUACAUCCUGGCCCACCUCUGCCUCCCUUCCUCCGUCUCCCUCUCUGCCUGCCCACCUAUGUGUAUGGCUCCUCAAAACUUGUUAUUCUUCUGUCAACUCUGCCCAGUACCCUGUUGCCUUUUAAAUGUUUAAUAUGCCUCUCUCUAACCAGCUGCUUCUCCCUGUUUUUUAUUUUUUCUGCACCGCCUUGUACCCCAUUACUUUUAAAAUUUAAUUUCUAUGUUUUCCCCUCUCUGUCUCCCUGACCCUAUAUUUUAAUUCUUCCCUCUUUGUCCUGUACCCAGUUGCUUGAGACUGGCUGGGCAUCGGUCAGUUGGUGGUUUCUUAUAGGCACCCUUUACAUACCAUGAAGUCUGCUAUAAGGUCUCCUGCAAAGCUGCAUGCCAGUGAGCGGUCCGAGAAGAUGUUGAAGACCAAUGUGUCACCUUGAGGAACAUCCCAGUUAGCCUGUGUGGUUUUUGUGGAGGAUGGACUCAGCCCCUCGGCCCUCUGAAAGCUACGUUGAGGG